rnacentral:rRNA from 1 species
UACAGAGGUGCCAAGCGUUAGGCGGAAUCACUGGCUUAAAGCGCGUGUAGGCGGGUCGUUAAGUGUCCGCGUGAAAUCCCACGGCUCAACCGUGGAACUGCCGGCAUACUGGCGAUCUUGAGGCAUUCAGGGGCGAGCGGAACAAAUGGUGGAGCGGUGAAAUGCGUAGAUAUCAUUUGGAACGCCAAUGGUGAAAACAGCUCGCUGGGAAUGAUCUGACGCUGAGACGCGAAAGCCAGGGGAGCGAACGGG